rnacentral:rRNA from 1 species
CGAAUGGGGAAACCCACCACUUUAUGUGGUACUUUAAACUGAAUACAUAGGUUUAAAGAGACAACCUGGAGAACUGAAACAUCUAAGUAACCAGAGGAAAAGAAAUCAAUUGAGAUUCCGUUAGUAGUGGCGAGCGAACGCGGACUAGGCCAGUAAUUUUGUUAAAAAAAUUUGAAUAGUUUGGAAAUGCUAACCAUAGAGGGUGAUAGUCCCGUAUGAGUAAUGUUUAACAAAAUUCUUGAGUAAAGCGGGACACGAGAAAUCCUGCUCGAAUAUAGGGGGACCGGAAUUAAGCCUAAAUCUCUUC